rnacentral:tRNA from 1 species
GCGCGAGUGGCGGAAUUGGUAGACGCGAGAGACUUAAAAUCUCUUGACCAAAGUCGUGCGGGUUCGAUUCCCGCCUUGCGCACCA